AACCGCUUGUUGUUGCCUUCUUGUAAUAUUCUACGAAGGUGGCAUCAAAGGGUCAG
rnacentral:pre_miRNA from 1 species